UCGGUCCGGAUAAUAACAUUUUUACGUCUUCAAAGUUCAGUCGCUGGCUCUUUAUCGAAAAAGGCUUUCGCCCCGUUUUAUAUAUAAAGCACCGAUCAUCAAGCAUCUAGUAUAGACACACGCCACCGCAACACACGCACACACCCAGAGCAGGAUACAUAGGCGCUGAGUGCAGCAACACCACCCCUAGCACUACCACGACGAGGAGAUGAAGCUACAUAUGACGGACCAUGAGCUUCAAGGCGGUGCCUUCAGGAAGGACACGACACCGGAGCGCCGCCACCGUCCGAUCCGAGGAUCAGAGUUUCCCCUGGAGCCGCAUGCUGGGCAGUGAGAACCGCGACAACGCCUUCAAGAAGGGAACGACCUUCGCCGCUGCCGGUCCGUCCGAAGAUAGAACAGGUUUUCACCUCGGCCAACACCCACCGCCACCGACCGCCACAGCCCGACCACCACGCCGCCCACACGGCCAUGGUGACUGGGCAGCACCAAGGCACGGGCUCCGCCCAAGAGCACCGCGCUGCACCACCAGGGCCGCCGCCCCGGCAUCCACGACCUUGACACCACCUCACCCGAGACCCGCCGCAACCCCAGCGAAAGAGGCGAGCAGAAAGGUCCCACAUUUCGCACCCCUGAGCGACCCCCAGCGUCGAGACCCAAUAGGCCGGCCAAAACUGGCAUCCGCCGAUCCGUCCUGCUGCCCCGAGCGCGAGACGAGCUCGGUCCUGCAGCACAGAGAGGGGGACGGGGUCAAUCCUGCUGCACCGUGCGCGAGACGAGCUCGGUUCUGCUGCACCUUGCGUGAGACGAGCUCGGUCCUGCAGCACCGGGCGCGAGACGAGCGGUGGACCGCAGCUGGGAGAGGACCAGCCCUUUGAUGGGAGUCACGCUCGGGCGCCGAGGAGAUGGGCCGAAGGUCGAGACGGUCUGAACGCAGACGAGUCGACGCCGGAGAAGCCGGCCGCUGCCGCGGGCAGAACCGUCGAGCCACCGUGAAGCCGGCACGCCACCGGAAGGCCACCACCGCCGGACCUCCCUACGCCGCCGCCCACGGCCGGAGCAGCGGCCACGCCCGGCCGCUGCCCUACCCGCGUCGCCCGGCGAGCUCCAAGCGUCGGAGCCACCGGGCACGCACCACUGAUGCCACGGGCCGACCCCCAACGCCAGAUCCGGUCGGAUCCAGCAAGAGACGAGCCGGCCCCGCUGCCACCACCAACCAGAGCCACCUCCACCCCCCGCACCCCGCCGUCGAGUCCAAUCGCCGCGCCGCGACCACACCGACAACCAGCGCCACCACCAGAGCUGCCCCCAUCGUGAGGACCAGCCGGAGCACCACCAGCCCAAGCCAGCCACCGCCGCCGAGGGCAGCCACGGGCCACCCGAGACGCCGACGACCAGAUCUGGCUGCGCCAGAUCGAGGGCCGCGGGCACCACGGGCACGCCCGCGAGCAGCCAUCCCCGUGAUCCCCAUGGGUCGCGCACAGGAGCCAGCCGUCGCCGCCCGAGACCACGCCAAAACGCGCCCCCACCCGCCGAGGAGACCGCCUGCGACGAGCCCACCAGCAGAGGGGAGAGAGGGUCCCGCCGCCGCCGACGCCGACCGGGCAAAAGCCCGGUCGGCGUGCCCCGGCAGCGGCGAGGAGAAGAGAAGGGGGGAGGGGCGCGGGGCCGGCGGCGCUGGGUUUUCCCCCUCGGCCGCCGCGGGAGCGACGCGAAAGGGACGAGGGACUCUCCUGUCGCUGGCUCUUUACGAGUUUUCUAGGUUCGGAUCACAUUUGGCACAGUACUGUAAUUAGUUAUGCGGUGAAAAAUUGGUGAGGGGCACACACUGCCUGCUACGUCCAGUGCAAAAGGCAGCCAUGAAACAUCUCUUACUGUCUGCAAUGGCGGUGAAUCUUCAGAGAGUCAGGGAAAGAUAGAGCUGUGAAAAUUCUCUUGGCUUUACAGUUGUCGUAAGGCUCAACCAAGACCCCGAAUCGUUGUGAUUGUCCCAGCCUCCAACUUUCGCCGAGGCGAAAAAGCCAUGGCUAGCUGCUCAUUCCUCUACCAUCUUUUUCAGGGCGGAGCGUGGCUACUACACACCCUCCACGCUGCACGCAUGUCACCAGUCAUUUUCGUUCAUGGUUUAGUUGCGUUGUUUGCCAGUUGAGUCAAAUAUUCCUGAAGUGAAAACUUUGCAGCUUUUGUUAUACUGUCCUCGGAAAAACGUUUUUCUGCAGACUGCCAAAUUGCGACAAUGGCGAUCAAAGUGCUUGAUGGAGAAAUUAUUUGUGGGGCAGCCAGCCAGUGAGGCGACGGAUCAUGCAAAGGCUCAAAUCUGCAAGUAAUAUACACUCACUCUAGUACUGUAACAAAUACUACGAAACUCUGAAGCUGUAAUAAGCAGGCAGCUGUAUCUGUCUAUGAUGAAGCGACAUGAUAGCAGGAUGCCUGCCAUGAAUAUGCUUUCUGCUCGCCCUCGUCGGAAGAGAAAGCAAGACUGGCCGAUUGGCAUCAUAAGAGCGCUCGAUCCCCAACUCACAAAAGAAAAAUAAAUACAAGGAAGCAAUCCAAGCAAGUACAUCUAUGAUGUCUCAUUAAGCCCCCGGAUCUUGGAGAAGUCCUGUGUUCAGAAAAAAGAUCUCGGAAGUGUAAACUAUACACACAAGAUACACAAAGGUGGCAUUUGUACCAUUCUUCAUCUUUAAUCAAGGUUCAGGUGUCAAGCUCUAAAAAAAUCUCUACUUGAUGGCAAAUGUGAGCCUGUCAAACAACAUAUUCGUCUCAUUUGGCUUGUCAACAAAGCCACUUCCUUCCCACCAUCUUUUUGCAAAGAAGCAUGGAGUGUCGUCUCUUCUACACGUUCGAAAAGUUGUCGCGAGCUGCGAGCUCGCUGCAAUCGGUUGGGAACUGCUUUUCUUUGUUCACAUGUAGCACUAGUUGGUUCUCCCAUGAAUAGAUUCCUCACUGAACAAUGCUCAUAAUUCGUUAUGAGUACACACGAUACGAUUCCAAUAUCAGAGGCAAAUACACAGCACUGUAAUAUCCGAACCGCACCCUUGUUGAGCAGCUUCUGGGACGAACCGGCCGGCAUGUUUGGUUGUCUUCCUUUCGGUGGAAAAUGGCGGUCUCGCACGCCUGUACAAUAGAAGCCACGCUGUCUGAAGAGUGUCGUCCUGGAGCGGCAUGAUAAUACAGUAUAAAGCUGCGCAGGGAUUAGUGUUUGUUUUUAACCACUGCACCUGCACAUCUUUUCCUAUGGUUAUGGCCCUGAUUACAGCCUUUUUCCUGGGAUUAGACAAAGGAAAUUCAUCUGUCAGCGGAGCAACGCAUGUUGUCUGAUGAGUGUUUCGGGUUGCACAAUAAAGCUGCAGACGAGCAUUGAGUACUGUUAGCGUAGAACCAAAGGCACCCAUGUACUGCUGCGAAAAAACUAUUUCUUCACAGAAGUUGUCCGUUCCUUUCUUUUUUUGUCAAGAUAAUAAACUUAUAAUAUGAUUUCACCAUUCACAUUCAGUCAUUCAGAUAGUCCCGUAGACCGUAGCCGAAGUUACGAGCCAAUUAUUUUGCUUGCUUUUUUGAGCUUUCAGAAUAAACUGCUCCCUACCCAGCUUAUUCUAGAAAUCCAAUCAAAAUUUUUAUUAUAAAAGUCUAUUACUUAAGUCUUAAAUAUUAGCCUUCUAAAAAAAUAAAUUUGGUUGGGCUUCUAGAAUAAGCUGCCAGCAAAAGAACUGACCCGUAGUAAAAAAAAAUGCACACUUGACUUCCAAAUAUCGGAAGUGCGUGUGCAUGCUAAUUAGAAACAUGUAAGCCAGAAUGAAGCUCUGCAGCAGCAUGCAUGUAUGUGGUCAUGAUUAGUGAUUCUGGUGAGCGCUCGGCCGGCCGAGCAAGUCUUCAACUUUUCCAGCUUAGCGUGAUUGCUCUUAUAUUGCCGUUCGCAGAACCAGCGGGUUGAGAGUAUAGCCGAAUUAUGCCUUCUCCACGAUGAUUAAUAAUCGGUGCUAGCUAAUUACCUUUGACCAGCCUUUCCCAUCUCUAGUAGUACACCGAAUCUGCAUCACUAGCUGCGUCGUAUAGACAUCAUGAGGCUAGGCGUCACUAGUUCCACAACUGUGCCGCGCGCUAACACCAAUCUUGGAGUAGCCAACAACACGAAGCUAGGGCGCACGCGGCAUGAUGCAGUUUCGGCACCGGAGCGGCCGAUGCCGUAGCGCAAAGCGACUUUUGCUCGGCACACCAUGCGCCAGCCACCGCCCAGCCGAUGCGCGCGCGCGCGCCCCCGGAGGCAAUGAAUGGCCGGAGAGCACGAGUUCUCUUUUGCGAUCCCUCGGCCAUGGCCAUUGCGGUACGUAGUAGGCCGCGCACUGGGCUCAAUGAUGGUCCCGGCCAUGGGUUGAGCCCUGGCGAGGGCAGGCCAUGGACGAUGGCAUGGCACGCAGCACCAAGGUCGCCAUGGCGCACUGGGACAGGCAGAGCGCGACAGCAAUUCGCACAGGCUUUGGCUUGGUGCAUAUGCAUGUGUGUUGUGUGCUGAUUCGUGGCCACAACCUAGAGCCAGGCCGCGCGAAACACCAUGAUUAGCGCCCUGCGUCAUUUUGCCCUGGAUCCUGACCUACCCCAUGUAUGCUCUACCACUCUCCCAGCCUUGCUCGCUUUACCGAUUACUAUUCCAGGCACGGAGAAUCCAAGGCUGCAGGAGCCAAGAUCAGCUCAUCUCUGCUGGUCUUUCACGCAACACGUACGGUGGCCUUGAUUCACAGUGCAUGGCGCAUGUCCGGCGAUGUGAUGGAUGAUGGUGCAAUCCUACGUACUACCACGAUACACCUAAACACCAGCUGUAAUAAUUACUACAGUGUUGCUCACACAACCGUGGCACGGCCACGAAAGCAAUCCAGCCUUGUUUUUCCAUCAAGCUGCAGGAGGCGACAUUGUAUGGGGCCAAGGUUUUGAUCGAGCACGCUUGAUCAAAGGCACGUUACGUAGGUCACGAGCGAUGGCGCGGGGCAAUGUGAUCAGGUCAAAGUCGACACAAAGCCAUUUGAUCGAGAAAAGAUUCAAAGCUAUCUCGCUUUUGCGCGGCCGGCGUGGCCGUCCUGAAACCCAUCCGCUACGUACCCCGCCGCUGAGCUCUCAAAGUAGAGCUCGUGCUGCUUCACUUUACGAGCAUCGUCCAUUUUGCCUCAAGUCAUCAUGCACCCUCGUCUCUCGCCACGCCGGCCGUGAUCGCCAUGACUCGUCCGUCCCUACGGCGAGCGGAGCCUGCUGCCAAUGCCGCACGGCGGGGCGCGCCCGGCUGAUUCAGGGAGCCGUCCGAUGCAUGAUCCGGCGUACCAGACGCCAGUUAUACGUACGGUGGCUGAAGAUCGGGCAGAGAGUGAGGGAGUGUGAUGCAAUGGCUAAUGAUGAGCUUUAUCAUACAGGGCGGAGGAAUCUAAAGGAACAAAAGCCAGCGUCCAUUGACAUAUUUCGCAGGCUCAUCUCGCCGCAUUGCCUUCCCUUUUAGAGCAUCUCUAACAGCCGCCAACACGCGGCGCGCUAAAAACUACUUUGCAGCGCGUACAUUGUCUGAUUUGAUGCGGCGGACAGCGCUGGCUUCAGGAGCCACGCUAAAAUGAAGCGUACGCGCGUAGCUCCAGCAGCGCGCAAAAAUAUAGCGCGCGACUCACCGGCACAAAUAACAUAUGCGCUCCAAACACAAACAAAAAAUCAAACACAAACAAAAUAAAUCAACAAUAAUAAAUAGUUCAAUUUCAUUAUUACAACUCAAACAAAUAGUUUAUCGUUCAAUACAACAAAUAGUUCAACAAUACAACAAAUAGUUUAACAAUACAACAUCAAAUGCACAAAUCAUGAUGCUCGUUGUCGGCCAUUCCAAGCCCACCACUCCUCAAUGAGAUCCUUCUGAAGAUCAUCAUGCGCCGCGGGACGUUGAAUGGCAUGAUAGGAGGCAACAAAACGGGCCACACUUUCAGCCAUCCACCGCACUCGCACGGGAUGUCCAAAGAGCUCAUACUGAGAGUAGUCUAUAUCUUGGUCACGCUCAUUCUUGAUGAUCAUGUUGUGCAUGAUCAUACAAGCGUGCCUGAUGUACCAAAGCAUUUUUUGAUCCCAAAAUCUAGGCGGUCCUCUCACAAUAGCAAAUUGGGCUUGCAAAAUCCCAAAAGCUCUCUCCACAUCUUUUCUAGCCGCCGCCUGAGCAUUGUGGAAUCAAGUUUUUUCUUACUUUCCGGUUUUUUCAACGGCUUCACAAAUGUUUGCCACUAUGGGUAGAUGCCAUCCGCAAGAUAGUAGCCAUAGUUGUAUGUGCGGCCAUUUGCUACAAACUGCACCGCUGGUAGUUCACCAUUUGCAAUCUUAUUCAUCAGUGGUGACCGGUUGACAACGUUGAUGUCAUUCCAAGAUCCAGGCAUUCCAAAAAAAGCAUGCCAAAUCAAAGUCUCUUGAUCGGCCACCGCUUCAAGGAUUAUAGUGGAACCCUUUUUUUGGCCGUGGAAUUGCCCAUGCCAUGCCUUUGGACAAUUCUUCCAACUCCAAUGCGUGCAAUCUAUUGAGCCAAGCCUACAUGUGAAGUCGUGAGCUUUGUUCAUCUCCAAUAGCCUUGCUGGAUGGGGUAGGUGGAGGUGCGAGCGAGCGCUCGAGAGUCCAGCGCGCGGGAGCUGGCGCAACAAAUCAGCGGCGCGUGAUGGCGUUUUGAUGUAACACCCCCAGUGUCAUGCUACAGUAACCCUCUGUGAUUAAGCUAAUCAUUUUACUAAACAGUGCUUGGUCACCUUCGAUUCAAAUAUCCUUUGAAAUUUCCACUUUCAAAUCAAAUUCAUUUUGCAAGUGAAAUAUGGAGUUGCACAAAAGUUGUUGCAAAAUAGUUCAUCAUUUAGCCUAAAUUCCAUAACAAAUGAUUGUUAAGGAAAACAACAUCAUCUCCAAGCCAAGAUGGACUAUAGCAAAUAAAACAAUGCCUUUUCAGCAUUUGGGCCAUCAUCUCCACUGUACAAGGACAAGCCCACCUUCCCCCACUCAUCCCCUUCCCUGUACAGACAGAGGGCGUGGCAGCCAUCCGGCCACCGUGGCCGCGCCCUGUCUGCGUGCCGGCCAUCCCCCGGUUACCCCGGUGGAUAAGACGUCGCCGCGACCCCUCCCAGCAACCCUAGCUCCUUUCCCCUCUUUUCCUCGGGCCGCCAUUGUCUUCCCAUGCUCGGCCGAACCACCGCGUCAUGACCCCUGCCGAUGCCGCGCCCAUCGUCGCCUUCACCGCCUGAGGACGUGUCCGACCGCCCCGUCGCCGUCCCCUUCGUCACCUGGAGCACCCCGUUCGAGUCGGGAGCACCUACGUCGAGCCUGGCGACAUCUUCCCGCCGUCCGCUUCGGUCGCCGUCGUUCACCGUCGAAUCGGACGGCCUCUGCUGCUCCUAAGCAAUCACGGGGCCACCUUGUGCCCGCUAGGUGAGCCACCACCCCUUCUGCUCCUCACCUUUAACUCGCACGCAUCGCUAGCCACCGCCGUUAGCUUCGCCGCCGCGGCCACCGCAAGCUAAGCUCGCGCCCGAGCACCGCAACGUGCUCCUGGGAUCCCCAGGAGGCCAACGCGUGCAUCCGCUUGUCUUGCCGCACCCCCUAGCCCCGGAUCCGUCCUCGCCCGACUCCGUCCACCACAUCCGCUCGUCGCUGGCGUCGACUCCGGCCCCCAGCACGAACCCCUACCAUCAUUCGAUGCGCGUUGACCCACGUUUGAAUGAGCUCAGUCGCGCCCGAUUUGGUCCCCCGUAGAGCUACCCCAGUCGGGCGUCCGCCCCACCUCGCCCCGAUAGCGCGCCGACUGCGCCCUGCCUCUGCUCUGCUGCCGCUGCCCUCUGCCGCCCGCGCCCGACCACCACUGCUCCGCUCCGUCGCGCUCUGGUCCGUGUGCGUGCGCUCACCACAUAGCAGCGCCACGCCCGCCUCUGCACCACUUCGUCGCGGCCUACUCCCUGUCGGCCCCUGCCCUGCCUGCAGCUCGCCCCUCCCCUGCACGCACGCCGGCGNNNNNNNNNNNNNNNNNNNNNNNNNNNNNNNNNNNNNNNNNNNNNNNNNNNNNNNNNNNNNNNNNNNNNNNNNNNNNNNNNNNNNNNNNNNNNNNNNNNNNNNNNNNNNNNNNNNNNNNNNNNNNNNNNNNNNNNNNNNNNNNNNNNNNNNNNNNNNNNNNNNNNNNNNNNNNNNNNNNNNNNNNNNNNNNNNNNNNNNNNNNNNNNNNNNNNNNNNNNNNNNNNNNNNNNNNNNNNNNNNNNNNNNNNNNNNNNNNNNNNNNNNNNNNNNNNNNNNNNNNNNNNNNNNNNNNNNNNNNNNNNNNNNNNNNNNNNNNNNNNNNNNNNNNNNNNNNNNNNNNNNNNNNNNNNNNNNNNNNNNNNNNNNGGCUGCGCCGGGGCCGCGCUCGGGUUCGCCCGGCGCCCGCAGCGCCCCAUCGCCCGUACCCGUAGCGCCCGCCCCGUUAAGGCCCUUGGACCAAUGACAGCCGGGGCCCAGCCCCAGAACGUUUUUCUAUAAUUUAAUUAAUAAAAUUAAUUAAUUAAUCCAAUAAUUAAUUAACUUAAUUUUUCUGUUAGAUUAAACUAAUCAAGUUUAGUAAACCUAAUUAACUAAUUAAACUAUCUAAUCUGUUAAUUAGGUCUGUCAGUCAUUGACAGUUGGGACCCACCUGUUAGUUUCACCCAGUCAACUGUCAGAGUUGACCGCUAACGUCAUGCUGACAUCAAGUUGGCGCAAUAUAUAUUUUCGAAUUAAAAUAAUUUCAAAUUGUUUUAAAAACUUUAGAAUUUCGUAGAAAAUAAACCGUAGCUCGGAUCGAAAAACUUUAUAUAUGAAAGUUGCUCAGAACGACGAUAUGAAUCCGAAUACGCGGUCCGUUUACCUGUCAGAUGCCUUUAACUACCUGAACAUGGAACAUUCCUCCUUCGGUCUUCUGUCUGACACAAGUCCGUAACCGGGAAAACAUUCUCGGUUGAAUUCCCCCUUCACCUUUAUUGUGUAGCCAUACGUUAGGUCACACCCGGCACAUCAUAUUGCCUUGUUAGACUUUGUGAUGCUAUCUUUGCUUUAUAUUUAUUGUUUCUUCCCCCCCUUCUCUCCGGUAGACCCCGAGACCGAUGCUGCCCCUGUGAUCGACUACGUCGACGACGACACUUCUUCCUUUU
rnacentral:lncRNA from 1 species